AAAUAACCUGUUUGCCAAAGCUGCUAGAUAUGCRCUGAAGAAGCCUUGGCUGGACUGUGAAUGUCUCUGAAUACAGAUUGCUUCAAAACCCUGACAAAGGCAAGUACUUAACCAAGGCAGAGAAACAGACCUGUGAGCAACCUCAGGGAAUAAAAUUGUCAUCAUCUUACUGGCUGACUUUGAAAUGGAAGUGGAAGGUGCCAGGGAUGGCUUUCCCUAUGCUGCGCUUUCUCUGCUUGCCCUUGAUGUCCAUGGGGUUCCUUGUGCACAGAGCAAUCCACCUGUAAGUGUCAGCCUGGGCUUGUAUUAUAGCAGGACCUUCAUUAUAUCCAGACAGAAAAUUCUGGAUGUAGCUAAGAUUUCUAUGAUGUCUCUUUCAUUUGAUCUCAGCAUUAUGUCAGUAUGCUAGCUGAUAAUUUUGCAGACUUCUGAGAACCUCUUUAAUGUCUUUAAAAAAAUCUUUCUUCUGUGGUAGACUUGACUGUGAUGGUUGCAUUUGGGUAUGGAGCUGAAAGACGACGUCUUUUCAUCUUUACCCUUCUUUGCUUAAAGAAAUGCUCACAUCCUUAUAAUUUGGCUCCAAAGGAUUUUGGUAACUUUUCAAUUAGUGGAUUUGCAAUGAAUAGUUUACAUAUGACCUCAUGUUUCUCUCUAGGCCAAGACACUUACUGUGUGAGUUCAUAUUAAAAAUACUAAGCUGAAU